rnacentral:rRNA from 1 species
CUUUUUGAUCCUUCGAUGUCGGCUCUUCCUAUCAUUGUGAAGCAGAAUUCACAACGUGUCGGAUUGUUCACCCGUUAAUAGGGAACGUGAGCUGGGUUUAGACCGUCGUGAGACAGGUUAGUUUUACCCUACUGAUGAAUUGAUGUUGCGACAGUAGUCUAACCUAGUACGAGAGGAACAGUUAGAUCAGAUACUUGGUUAAUACGGUUAGCUGAACAGCUAAUGCCGUGACGCUACCAUCUGUCGGAUUAUGACUGAAAGCCUCUAAGUCAGAAUCCGUGCUGGAAAGCAACUUCUAGUAGUAAUAAAUGAAAAAGCAUAAGGGGAAACUCUUAAGUUCAGAUAUUAGGCACGUGGAGAAGUCCAGAAAAGGACAAUCCGACGUGUCUGAAUACAAUUUCAAUUAUUACUAACGCAGAUCCUCUGUAGACGAC